rnacentral:rRNA from 1 species
CACGUAGGGCGCAAGGCGUUGUCCGGAAUUAUUUGGGCCGUAAAGAGCUGCGUAAGGCGGUUUGUCGCGUUCUGCUGUGAAAACUCGGGACUUAACGUCCGGCCGUGCAGUGGGUACGGGCAGACUAGAGUGCGGUAGGGGAGACUGGAAUUCCUGGUGUAGCGGUGAAAUGCGCAGAUAUCAGGAGGAACACCGGUGGCGAAGGCGGGUCUCUGGGCCGUAACUGACGCUGAGGAGCGAAAGCGUGGGGAGCGAACAGG